GGAGACGCAGCACGGCUGGUUAUAUCCCGCGGCUCAGACGCGCUCAGCUCGGCACUCAGCGCGCAGUCCCGGACACAGAAGGACCUGUCGCCCAUCUGCCCCUACUUCAGACACUACAGGAUAGAAAAAUCGGUACAAGUAACCCGCCCCUCUUUUUGAUUUUUUAUUGACGGACCACGUUUUGGGAAUGUAUCAUUGUGCAAGCGGACGCACUUGAAGAAGAUUCUUCUUAUAGCAAUUUCAAGCUACAAAUUGGAGCCUCGUGUCACUUUUUCUGCUGAUUGUAAAUUAUUUGCCAUUUGGGAAACUUUCCAUUUUCUAUUCAGUCGUCAAGCCAAGGUCUUUUUUUUUAUUGCUUUUCACACCCGGCAAACAAAUAAUCACAGAUUACAAUUUCUGGAGCAAUGCCUGCAGGUUCUGAUCUAGAACUUGUUUCGCUCGGUUGACUUCAGGAAUCAUGUCGAACUGUCGCAUGAGCGGCUGCCACCAGAAGAGCUGCCCUGGAAGCCUCGGACGAGUACAAAUUGGAAAGUGAACAAGCCUGGCCCCGAAGCGGCGCGGUCAACUUGAACUCCUUCAGCUUUGCCGAGAGCCACUGUUCGCUGAGCGGGACCGUGGCUCUUGGAGGUCCCCUCUCUCACUCCGCUCUCUCCGAGGGAUGAUUCUGGGUCCCCUGCGCUCAGGAGCGACUUGGCGGCUCCUAACGAAAACGUGUUUCUUAUUUUUGGGGAAAUCGAAAUUAAAGGGAGAUGAGAACCGCACUUUUCUACUUCCUGCUCUGUACGUCGUACCUGCUGCUCAUUAAUGCCGAGGACCUUCCACAAGAGCUGAUUGAGCGACUGUCCCACAGUGAAAUCAACAGCAUCAGCGACCUCCAGCGGCUUCUGGACAUAGACUUCGUAGGUACGGGAAAUGAAGUCAUCGAGGAGCACAAGCAGAAGCAGCACAAGCAGAACUAUUCCCACGCCUACUCGGACCUGAAGAGCUCGCAGGUCCACCGCAGACGCAAGAGGAGUGUGGAGGAAGCCGUGCCGGCGGUUUGCAGGACGCGGACGGUGAUCUACGAGAUCCCGCGCAGUCAGGUGGAUCCCACCGCCGCCAACUUCCUGAUCUGGCCUCCCUGCGUGGAGGUGAAGCGCUGCACGGGAUGCUGCAACACCAGCAACAUGCGCUGCCACCCCUCACGCAAACACCACCGCACCGUUAAGGUGGCCAAGGUGGAGUACGUGCGGAGGAAACCCAAGCUGAAGGAGGUGUUUGUUCGGUUAGAGGACCACCUGGAGUGUGUGUGCACGUCGCAGCAUCACGUGGUGGAGCACACAGACGCAGACACAGGCCAGCGCAGGGCCAAGGGUAAGAAAGGCAAACACAGAAAGAGCAGGCUCACCAAGGAGCGAUUGGCCACAUAGCAAAAAAAAACAAACAAACAGUAAAAAAAAAAAAAAAAAAAAAAAGUGCUGGGCACGUAGCGCUCUCCGGACCCCAGACACCUGCAGUGGACGUGAGGUGAGGCCACAUGACGGGAGAGACGCCCGCGAGGGGUGGGGCGGGACAGAGACAGGAAGUCAUCGAGUCCGGAGAGCUCGCUAACCCUUGACCCCACGCCACCACCAAAAAAAAUACCCGACAACACACACGAAAGAAAAUAAACUAUAUCGUAUGAUGAGAGACUGAAGUGAAUGAAAAUACCAAAGGUGCUUUUCUUCCUGUAACCUGAGAUGACUUCACUCUGCUGGACCUAGCAGACCUAACCAAUCAAACACUAAUGCAAGCGAUAAUGAUGAUGAUGAUGAUGAUAUUUGAGUGUGGCAGUUGGAGACUUGGGAGAGAGGAUGUGUUUGUUUGUUGUGCUGCUACGUGUGUCCAAACCAGACAGAGACUUCACAAAGGACACACAGACACACACCCACACCCACCCCCCCACUCUCUCUCUCACACACACACACACACACACACACACACACACACACACACACACACACACACAGAGAACUCUCAGAGACUCUGACUGUAACAAAUGUACAAAGAGGACAGGAGGAGAAUUGAUGAGGAACUGAUUAAGAAAGGACGUACAAAAGAGAAGGCCUUUUCUUCCGGAAGCUUCUGCCCAACUGUAUGGAACUGUGGGACUCCAUGUCUUUGUAUUGGCCAUGCGCUCUACCUGCUCUACCUGCAGCUGGAGAUGCCGUGUAGUGGAGCCCAGCAGAAGCCCUCUUCUGUCCUGUCC